rnacentral:rRNA from 1 species
CUACGCACUCCUACGGGAGGCAGCAGUGGGGAAUAUUGCACAAUGGGCGCAAGCCUGAUGCAGCCAUGCCGCGUGUAUGAAGAAGGCCUUCGGGUUGUAAAGUACUUUCAGCAGUGAGGAAGGUGGGUAUGUUAAUAGCAUAUUCAUUUGACGUUAGCUGCAGAAGAAGCACCGGCUAACUCCGUGCCAGCAGCCGCGGUAAUACGGAGGGUGCGAGCGUUAAUCGGAAUUACUGGGCGUAAAGCGCAUGCAGGUGGUUUGUUAAGUCAGAUGUGAAAGCCCGGGGCUCAACCCUCGGAAUUGCAUUUGAAACUGGCAAACUAGAGUACUGUAGAGGGGGUAGAAUUUCAGGUGUAGCGGUGAAAUGCGUAGAGAUCUGAAGGAAUACCGGUGGCGAAGGCGGCCCCCUGGACAGAUACUGACACUCAGAUGCGAAAGCGUGGGGAGCAAACAGGAUUAGAUACCCUGGUAG